UACGUAGGGGCAAGCGUUAUCCGGAAUCAUUGGGCGUAAGCGCGUGUAGGCGGUUCCGUAAGUCCGCUCUGAAAGCCCCAGGGCUCAACCCUGGGAGGCGGGUGGAUACUACGGAACUGGAGUACGGAAGAGGAGAUUGGAAUUCCUGGUGUAGCGGUGAAAUGCGCAGAUAUCAGGAGGAACACCAACAGCGAAGGCAGAUCUCUGGGACGUUACUGACGCUGAGACGCGAAAGCGUGGGAGCAAACAGG
rnacentral:rRNA from 1 species